GUUCAUAUUUUUUUGGCUCCUGAAUUUUCAUUAUUUGAAUCGAUGGACUGACCUGGUUUACACCUUAAGUUGAUUAUGGUUGCAUUUUUCUGGGUUUUCUCCUUCUGCGUGUAUUGUAAUUUUUUUACGUAUUGUUUUGAGCUUGGUUGUUGAGUUCAAAAAUUUCAUGUUUGAAUUGGCUUUUUCCUUAUUUGGGUUGAGGUUGUGUAUCAUUAGGGUUUUGGACCUCAAAUUUGUUCAUUUUACUUCAUCCCAUGACUUGUGAGGUUAUUUACUUCUUCCCAUGUCUUGUCAGGUUCUGUUUGAAAUGGAAUGGUAUAUAGUGUAGGGAAUGGGUUUCUCCUAUAAAAUUAAUAGCAUUCUUUUGUUAGUACGUCUACACUUUGAAGUGUUUAUUUAAUGUAACCGAUGGGUUUAUUUGUGUUUGGACAAUGACGAUGCUAGUUAGGAUGACCCAUUCCAG
rnacentral:misc_RNA from 1 species